AUUGAACGCUGGCGGCAGGCCUAACACAUGCAAGUCGAACGAGUGGCGGACGGGUGAGUAAUGUAUGGGAAACUGCCUGGUGGCGGGGGAUAACUACUGGAAACGGUAGCUAAUACCGCAUACCAUCAGAUCUGCCCAGAUGGGAUUAGCUUGUUGGUGGGGUAAAGGCUCACCAAGGCAACGAUCCGUAGCUGGUCUGAGAGGAUGACCAGCCACACUGGAACUGAGACACGGCCCAGACUCCUACGGGAGGCAGCAGUGGGGAAUAUUGGACAAUGGGCGAAAGCCUGAUGCAGCCAUGCCGCGUGUAUGAAGAAGGCCUUCGGGUUGUAAAGUACUUUCAGCGGGGAGGCGUUACCAGCAGAAGAAGCACCGGCUAACUACGUGCCAGCAGCCGCGGUAAUAC
rnacentral:rRNA from 1 species